UGGCAGUUAGAUAUGAAAAUCUUAAUUCUCCUCUGUGUAUCUUGCUGAUCGUAGGAAGUCCAUGCUUUCCUCUCCAGAAGUGUCAUGUUUUUUCCUCUAAAAUGAAGCCAGUGGUGCAUAAGAGGUAUAAUGUUUGGAUUUGCAAAUGUACUGCAAGAAGAUGGAAAGAAGCAAGUCUCUGUGAAAUAUGCCAAAGAUAAUCUGACACGCAGGUUAGGAACUCAUGAUAUAUAACGAUGUGAUUUAUUAUGUUCUACAAGCAUACAUGAAACCACAUGUGUUCUAGAACAGAUUCAGUGUCAUUGUAUCCUUGGUAUUGUUGGUACUUCAGGUACAGCAUAAAUUAACAAACGAGACACACGUUCUCCUAAUUAGUGUGUUGCUUCAAUCCCUUCUGUGCAUAGCUUUUGUUGGUAUAUCGUUCGUACCAAUUUGGUUCUGCAAUAGAAAGGAAGUGUGUCGCUGCCUGCUAUGAUGAUGGUUGUUGGCUGGGUUGGAGGCUGAGCUGAAGGCCGGCUUUAGUGGUUUGCAAUCUGCCGUGUUAGUUAUUUUUCAUGAAUUAUUUCCCAUUCGUAUGGAGAAGGGAGCUCAUCUUGACGUUUCCGUAGUUUGUCUGGUUACCGCUCUGGCUUCUAUAUUUGUCCCCCCAUCAUUAUAUCUUCUGUCAUUUUUUCAGGUUUGCACGGGAAUCCUUCAAAUGUUUGUGGACUUUCGUCCAUGGUUCAUGGGUACGGUUUGUCUGCAGGUGUUUUUUCUGGGUGAUAAUUCCGUGCCCAAUCUACAGAAUCUAAGAUCUUAGGCUGCUCUACCAUCAGCAUAUUCAUCAGAGCCUGAUCAAGUUUAAAUUUCUACUGAAAACACUGCCUUUUCUGCUGACUCCCAUGUUGGAGUUUCUCGCAUCAUGCCAAAGGCUUACGAUAUCUGAUACUGUAGUGAAAAUAAUGCCAGCCAUCGUCCCUGCUGAGCUCUCUUAUAAUUUCUUUUGUUUGCAUUUUUUCAUUCCGUUUUUGUGCAUUUUUUAGUUAACGUUCCCUUCCAUCGCUUCUGUUUUUAAGAGUUUGAUGUUUGCUCAGACAUAUGCACUGUGUGGUCAUGUGUAGAUAUGUUAGUUCAUAUGCGUGGUUUUCAUUUUUUUCCCCUUACAUAAUCUAUGUAUGUACUAAGUACACGCAUUGAUUAACAUGUUCUUCUGUUGCUUUGUUUUGUAGGAUCACUCCUCAGAAUAAGUUCUCUACGCGAUAGGUGCAGUUAAGAUGUUUGGAAUUCAGUAUUCCAGCUUGAGCAUGGAAGUUUGUUUCAGUUCAAUAGUGUUUGCAACUGAUUUUAUCAUCUUUCGACAAGCAUGUAGAUGUCCUUCUGGAUUCUGUCUUCCCUGUGUCGCCCUCCCUAGCAACCUAGAGCAACUUCCUGCCCAACAAGUUGAAGCCGAAGAUCCUAACAUCCCCUCCGACAACUCUGCACACCUUGCUUAGAGAACUGAUUUCCCCGCACCGUCCUCUGCAUGGACUAGGAACAAUAGUGCUGGCAGAUUUUGUUCUUGCCCAUCCAGAGUGCCAAAGAGGGAAACAAUUAUCAUCCUCUAUUCUGACGAGGUGGACAAUGACGCAAGGCAUUAACAGGUUGCAGAGACGGAGAGCAGCUACAUCAGCUACCUUAUGUUAUUUGUAGUGUUGAUAAGAAAUGUUAAAAUGAACUCCCCCUUUUAAUAGAGAUCUAUUUACCAUAUAAUCUAGUAGACAUUGGCUCUGUCCUUGCCAUCAGUGUAAAUAUGUGCUAUUGCUAUAGGCUAAAUUUAUCAGCUUUCUUAA